GGCUUGUCUGAAGGUAGUGAGUUAUCUCUACUGAUUGUUCACAGUCAAUUGCAGAUUGAAUGCCUUGUUCUACCCUUUCUCCCGUCUCACCAACUUCACUCGACAAGUCUACA
ensembl:misc_RNA Y_RNA Y RNA